ensembl:lncRNA
GCCUCCUCCUGGCCCGGCAGGAGCUUCUCUGUACAUGUUCUUAUUCCAACAAGUCUGGAAUCAAUUCCAUUUUCGGCUCCACCUUUUUUUUUUUUUUUCACUCAUGCAGAGUGGAAUGCAGGAUUUUAGUUCCCUGACCAGGGAUCGAACAUGUGCCUCUCCCAGCUUUGGGAACACAGAAUCUUAACCACUGGAGGAAGUUCCCCACAUAACUUCUGAAAGUCUGCUGACAAGCCACAUUCUGGAUAAACACUUCCCUGCUCUCCAGAGCUAAGCAGGAAGUUUCUUCCUCUAAGCUCUUCCAGCUUCUGAGGGUCACUUUAUGCAAGCUGUCCUCUUUCAUGUUGAAUCAGAUCUUUCUUCUUCCAAUGCAUGGUGCAGAACUAUAGAGAACAUGGAACUGGAUUUUACAGGAGAGCAACCAUUACAGAAUCUGAGGCAUUACCUACACGGCCACCACAGAGUUUAUUACUGUAACAUCUUGAAGGAAAAAAAGUAUUCCACAAGAAGGGACGGA